rnacentral:lncRNA from 1 species
UUUUUAAAUUGGUGCAAACACAAACUUCUACCAGUAAACGUCCUGCAAUUCUAUAUUGCAACAGGCUGGCAGCAUGACAGCGUGGUUGAGCUGAGAUUAACCCAAAAUGAGCAGGAGGAUUUGAAAGCACAGGAGAGAAAAGAGAAGGCAGAGCAGCGGUCCUGUGUCUGAGGUGACUGCUGAGCCCAGGCUGAACUAUGAUACUACCUGGUACAGAGGAGGAAACGCACCAGGAGAGACUAAAAGACAACACUCUCCCUUCAAAGAGGAACCAGCUCUUCAUUGUGGUUCUUCAGCUCUGUGCUGUUUGGUGUCUGCUUAGAUUUCAUGUGUUUCUUCCUGUGGAUGAAAAGAAAUGA